rnacentral:lncRNA from 1 species
UUUAGUCCUGGGGUGGUGUUCUCGAAAGUAUCUUAAGAUUCGUCCUAAGUCAUAGAUAAGACCAAUUUUAGGAUGGACUUAGGAUCGACUUAGGACACUCUUAAGUUGUGUCUCGAAGCUAUCUCAGACACAUCUUAUGUUAAGACGUCCUAAACAUAUCCUAUGUGCGAAAUUCUAAAUAGUUAAAGUAAUUGUUUGAUAAAACAUUUAUUAAAGACGAAACCAUAUGAUAAAAUUGUUUACGAAAUUUU